rnacentral:lncRNA from 1 species
GUACUUCAUACUUCCACAAAAUGGUUCUUUGUGUGUGUGUGUGUGUGUGUGUGUGUGUGUAUUUGCCUUUUUUUUUUUUUUUCCCUUCUCUCUCUCUCCUGGUUAAAAUUUAGGAGGAGGAUUAUUGAGCUUUUUUUUUGUUUUUGUUUUCAGGGAUGCGGAAUGGGGGUGUUUUCCAUUUGUAGGAAUCAAAUGACAUCCCCUUUGGAAGAAAAGUCCGAGAGCCAAUUCAUUUAAAGUUAAUUCUUCAAAUAUGUGCAAAGUAGUUGUCAGGUACCAGAUCUUGUGAAAGGGUUCUUUUGGCCACAAAGUGCUUACUGUUUCUCUCCUUUUCAUUAUUAUUUACUUUAAUUAUGGACAUCCAUGUGUUUUUCAGAUGCCAGGAAUGUUUUUCCUAUGAAACAGCAUCUGUAUUGAUGACCCAGGUAAGGAGAAGUGUGCUUGGGCACACGCAGCCUGGAAUGAUGCCCGAUGUGGACAGCUGACCCUGGGUGGAAAACGCAUCUUCCAAGAAUGGCACCAACAUCCACCGCAGAAUGGAACUUGGGACGUUUACUGAAAGGCAAGAAAGAAAAGCUGUGUGUGAAAACCACUUUCCUUUGAAAGACCAACACCAACAGCAACGUGAUUUCCUUUUUCUAGUUGCCCUGAGAGAUUUAGGAAACUGCUUCCAGGGGCCCGUGGUUCACUCUGCUCAUUUCCUGCAAAUCCAGGGUGUGAGGGUUUCAGAAACUGCCUUUCUGUGAGGGGCCAGUCUGAUGCCCGGCGCUGUGCCUGCCUUGACUUGCAUCCUGCUCGGGACUCUUCCCACGCACCUGAAGGCUGGCAGAGCUUCCCAGUGUUGUCACCUGGUUCAGGGGAUGGCUCUGUGUGCAGUGGCCUUUGGCAGAAGCCGGAUCAACACGCGCCUUGCACAGGUGAGCGUCGGGUUCAACCGUCUGUGGGAGUGCAGAGGAACGAGUGACUGGAAUCGCUUGGGAAGCCUUUCCAGCAACACUGGUACGGGGUUUAGGCCUUGAAGGACCAGCUGGGCAUUUUUGUGCAUGCAAGACCUGCCUACGCAAUGAUCUUAAGAUGUCACUGUAGCGUUUACAUCUUUUAUUUCAAGAUUUAAAUAACUAGGAAGUAGCUAAUGUAAUUCACUGCUGAGAAGAAAGGCAAGCUCCUUGAUUCCUUUCCAAAGCGAUCUCCUCCUAAUGAACUUCUUUGGACUGUGAGUAAUGAGGCUUUAUUCAAAUAAUGUUUAAGGAAGUCUCUGUCAGAG